UACGAAAGGGGGGCUAGCGUUGCUCGGAAUCACUGGGCGUAAAGCGCACGUAGGCGGCUUUCUAAGUCAGGGGUGAAAUCCUGGAGCUCAACUCCAGAACUGCCUUUGAUACUGGAGAGCUCGAGUCCGGAAGAGGUGAGUGGAACUCCGAGUGUAGAGGUGAAAUUCGUAGAUAUUCGCAAGAACACCAGUGGCGAAGGCGGCUCACUGGCUCGGUACUGACGCUGAGGUGCGAAAGCGUGGGGAGCAACAGG
rnacentral:rRNA from 1 species